CAGCAGCCACGGUAACACGUAGGGUGCAAGCGUUAAUCGGAAUUACUGGGCGUAAAGCGUGCGCAGGCGGUUAUAUAAGACAGAUGUGAAAUCCCCGGGCUCAACCUGGGAACUGCAUUUGUGACUGUAUAGCUAGAGUACGGCAGAGGGGGAUGGAAUUCCGCGUGUAGCAGUGAAAUGCGUAGAUAUGCGGAGGAACACCGAUGGCGAAGGCAAUCCCCUGGGCCUGUACUGACGCUCAUGCACGAAAGCGUGGGGAGCAAACAGGAUUAGAUACCCCUGUAGUCCCUGUCUCUUAUAU
rnacentral:rRNA from 1 species